rnacentral:tRNA from 1 species
GCCUUCCUGGUGUAAUGGUCAAAUACACUCGGCCGGUAUUCGAAAGGUCCGUGGUUCGAGUCCCGGCGAAGGCG